rnacentral:misc_RNA from 1 species
CAAAUAUUUACCAAAGAACCUCCCUACCCUCCUAUACAUAACCCCCAAGUCAAUUUCACUUUCCCCCGUGUAAUCUGUGAGAUAUGAUCAAAUUCUCCUCUUUCGGUCAUUUUUCGGUCACCUCCUUCGACAGUCUGUUCUUACCAGGAAGCUUCCAGAGACAUCUAAGAACCCUUCUCCCUCUUUUAUUCCCUCUUUGUG